GUGCACGCUGGCGGUAGGCCUAACCCAUGCAAGUCGAACGGCAGCACAGUAAGCGCUUGCUCUUACGGGUGGCGAGUGGCGGACGGGUGAGGAAUACAUCGGAAUCUACUUUUUCGUGGGGGAUAACGUAGGGAAACUUACGCUAAUACCGCAUACGACCUACGGGUGAAAGCAGGGGAUCUUCGGACCUUGCGCGAUUGAAUGAGCCGAUGUCGGAUUAGCUAGUUGGCGGGGUAAAGGCCCACCAAGGCGACGAUCCGUAGCUGGUCUGAGAGGAUGAUCAGCCACACUGGAACUGAGACACGGUCCAGACUCCUACGGGAGGCAGCAGUGGGGAAUAUUGGACAAUGGGCGCAAGCCUGAUCCAGCCAUACCGCGUGGGUGAAGAAGGCCUUCGGGUUGUAAAGCCCUUUUGUUGGGAAAGAAAAGCAGCAGGUUAAUACCCCGCUGUUCUGACGGUACCCAAAGAAUAAGCACCGGCUAACUUCGUG
rnacentral:rRNA from 1 species